rnacentral:rRNA from 1 species
ACUCCUACGGGAGGCAGCAGUAGGGAAUCUUCCACAAUGGACGAAAGUCUGAUGGAGCAACGCCGCGUGAGUGAAGAAGGGUUUCGGCUCGUAAAACUCUGUUGUUAAAGAAGAACAUAUCUGAGAGUAACUGUUCAGGUAUUGACGGUAUUUAACCAGAAAGCCACGGCUAACUACGUGCCAGCAGCCGCGGUAAUACGUAGGUGGCAAGCGUUGUCCGGAUUUAUUGGGGCGUAAAGCGAGCGCAGGCGGUUUUUAAGUCUGAUGUGAAAGCCUUCGGCUCAACCGAAGAAGUGCAUCGGAAACUGGGAAACUUGAGUGCAGAAGAGGACAGUGGAACUCCAUGUGUAGCGGUGAAAUGCGUAGAUAUAUGGAAGAACACCAGUGGCGAAGGCGGCUGUCUGGUCUGUAACUGACGCUGAGGCUCGAAAGUAUGGGUAGCAAACAGGAUUAGAUACCCUGGUAGGAUACCG